rnacentral:rRNA from 1 species
AUUGAACGCUGGCGGCAGGCCUAACACAUGCAAGUCGAGCGGUAGAGAGGUGCUUGCAUCUCUUGAGAGCGGCGGACGGGUGAGUAAUGCCUAGGAAUCUGCCUAGUGGUGGGGGAUAACGUUCGGAAACGGACGCUAAUACCGCAUACGUCCUACGGGAGAAAGCGGGGGGAUCUUCGGACCUCGCGCCAUUAGAUGAGCCUAGGUCGGAUUAGCUAGUUGGUGAGGUAAUGGCUCACCAAGGCGACGAUCCGUAACUGGUCUGAGAGGAUGAUCAGUCACACUGGAACUGAGACACGGUCCAGACUCCUACGGGAGGCAGCAGUGGGGAAUAUUGGACAAUGGGCGAAAGCCUGAUCCAGCCAUGCCGCGUGUGUGAAGAAGGUCUUCGGAUUGUAAAGCACUUUAAGUUGGGAGGAAGGGUAGUAACCUAAUACGUUGCUACUUUGACGUUACCGACAGAAUAAGCACGGCUAACUUCGUGCCAGCACG